GGUAAAACUCACAGCCUGGGAAUGCAGCAAGCACUCAACCACAGGCUGGGGAGGGGAAGUUGCUGUUCGAACAGAUAAGAAAUAUCUGCCGCCCCACAGGAGCCCAUAAACUUCUCCGAUUGCACAGUGGCACACAUGAGCUGUAUAAAGCCUGUGCCGAAGAAGCCAACUUCCUCAUUCAAUGUGAGGCACAGUCAACUAGGCCCCAAGGUCAAAUAUGGGUUUUCAGUAAAGCUGCUGAAUACUUCAGCCCCUUGCUAAGAUACUAGAUUGAUGCAAUGUUCCAACAAAGUCAGCUUCCUCUUUCUGUGAAUAAUUUUUGUUUUGUUGUUUCAGUUCUUCAGAUGGUUUUAUUGUAAAAAUUACCAGACUCCAAAUUAAAACCUGUUCUUAAACUGCCACCAACCGUUCAUUUCUAACAAUAAAUAAAGAAUAACGGAUAACCAGGAGUGGGUUUACAGGCUGGAUCUAAUCGUGGAGGUUUGGAUGGUUUACACACACAAUAUCUGAAAGUAAGGAAAUGCGGGAGGUCCUCUUUCUGAGGGACGGUAGCACAAGGGCCGCCCAUCUAUCCUCGACAGCCAAGGUGGAGGUUGCCAGGGAGGUCAGCACCCAUGGAAAAUAAAAAAGUCCCACCCUGCAGUGCAGGAAGACAAUGAAUGAUCUGACCUGCUGGCUACCAGGGCCAAGAUAGCCCACAACAAGAGGGAGAGAUCCCAGACUGGAGGGGGCGACCCUGGAUUUGCAGGACCAUUCCCACUUCCAGGAGGAGGCUGCAGAGUUGGCUGGAGAAGAGAGGGAUCAGUCUUGUGUGGAAGGUGCCAACAGGGAGAAGCUGGGACACUCCUCCAGCCACCACAUCAGCGCCAGGCCCCAGACCACCUCAGAUGAGUAGGAGGACAAUCCACUUGAAGAAGACCUGUUACUACAUUCCCCUGCACCCUCCACCAGGGCAGAGACACACACCUCGAAGAAAAUAUGAUGGCUCAACCAAUGAGAAUUAAUUCAAAAGUCACACAGCAACACAACUGUUUAUAUGUACAGGGAUCAAUGGCUGCUUUUGGAACUUACCUUCCAUGGACUAUAUGGAACAGCUAGGUGGCUGUCAAGCUGUAGCCAAUCCCUUAGAAAUACAAGUCUUCUGAGAACAUAUUACAAGAAGCAUAAAACCCAAAGCAUUCACAGCUCCUGGGCCCUGGGGAAGGGAUACUUAUCAGCUGUGGAACAUGUAAAGUUAGCUUCCCAGUGCCAAACAGGUUGUCCUCCACAUCUCAUCCUCUUGUGGCUGUUCCACUCAGUUGUCACCAGGCACAGCUUUUCGCAUCAAAUGUCUUUGUUGGGUCAAGAUGAAUGCAUAAUGAGCACUCAUUAGUGUUUUUAUCAAUGCUUACACAAAUGUUGAGGUGCAACUACACUGUUGAACAAAUUGUGACUGUUCUUACUGAUGUCUCCUAGUGGCACCCGGAAAAUUUUAGUGGAGUUUGGUUAUUUUCACUUUUAGCUACUUUCACUAUCUGUUGUAUGUCCUUGGCCACAUGCCUGGUUCUGGAGCUUACACAGCUCAUUGACUUAUGUUUCUGGUGAAAUGCAUCCUCCUACAGAUCCAGGCAUCUGUUGCACCCAUGGUAUCCGAACUCCAUUGGAUAGUUGUGCUUCUAGCUGGUCUGCUAGCUGCAUGCUCAAAUCUCCUCGAUAUCUUCUUCUGUUGACCUUGUUCCUCCUUCUCAAAUAUGUUGAAUAGAAACAAAACAUUAUGAUGCACCCAUGAUGCUGAGCUCACUGAGAGACUCCCUGAAUAUUUUUGUAAGCCAUGGACCUUCAUAAUCUGUCAGCUCCCUUGGAGGGAAAGGGGGCAGAAUUGCUUUGGCCACUGAGUGUAACAUUAUUUUAAUUAUAUGCAUAAUGAUUUUCUUGCUUCAUUUAUGUGUUAAAGGCAUAAACAUGUUCUAUUUGGUGAAGAAAGGAAAUGUAAAAUAGGCAGCAAGUGUCCCAGAAUGUUACAAUUUUAUUAAUUUAAUAAAGCUUCCUUUUGUAAUCUGUUGUAAUCUGUUUUCCAUACUUAUUAUUGUUUAUUUUACUCUUUUGUACCCAAUGGUAUUCUAUUGUACCUUAUAUCUCAUGGUAUCUUUUUGUAUCCUAUUAAAUUCUCUUAUAUUGUGUCCUAGCAUAUUCUAUGGUAUCACAUUGUAAUCAGAUGUAGCCUAUUGUAUUCUAUGGUAUCAUUUUCUAUGAAAAUGUAUUGUACUCCAUUCUGCUGUACGUUUCUGUAUUCUGUGCCAUUCCAUUGUAGUCAUGUUCAUGCUAGUACAAGUUAUUAAAGACUCAAAUACAGUGAAGAUUA